rnacentral:rRNA from 1 species
UACGGGGGGGGCAAGCGUUGUUCGGAAUUACUGGGCGUAAAGGGCUCGUAGGCGGCCAACUAAGUCAGACGUGAAAUCCCUCGGCUUAACCGGGGAACUGCGUCUGAUACUGGAUGGCUUGAGUUUGGGAGAGGGAUGCGGAAUUCCAGGUGUAGCGGUGAAAUGCGUAGAUAUCUGGAGGAACACCGGUGGCGAAGGCGGCAUCCUGGACCAACACUGACGCUGAGGAGCGAAAGCCAGGGGAGCGAACGGG